AUGCAAGUUCAGGGAUUGCAAGACAGGAGGCCAAACACCGAAACAGCAUCUGACAAAAGUUUAUUUUUGAGAAGACCUUAUAUAAAGACACUGCCUUCAAGAAGAAACAUUGGAAUUUUAGGGCUAUUUGAAACAGUGUAUAAGCAUAUGUUGUAUGUCAUGACUAUGCUGCCUAACAUGCAGUUGGAUGAAAAGCACUUGAAGUAUCUUUGGACCGAACCCACAAUAAAGCUCUCCAAUACUUCAGUGGACGUAGUGCAUGUGAACCUAUUUCAGAAUGAAGCCCAUAAUCCUGGACCUCUUUUCAUGGGAGGCUGAAUAUAUGAAG
rnacentral:lncRNA from 1 species